rnacentral:rRNA from 1 species
GUCUCUGGCUGUCCGAGUUGUAAUCUAGAGAAGUAAUGCCCGUGCUGGACCGUGUAUAAGUCUCCUGGGAUGGGGCGUCAUAGAGGGUGAGAAUCCCGUCUUUGACACGGACUACCAGUGCAUUGUGGUAUGCUCUCAAAGAGUCGAGUUGUUUGGGAAUGCAGCUCAAAAUGGGUGGUAAAUUCCAUCUAAAGCUAAAUAUUGGCGAGAGACCGAUAGCGAACAAGUACCGUGAGGGAAAGAUGAAAAGAACUUUGGAAAGAGAGUUAAACAGUACGUGAAAUUGCUGAAAGGGAAACGCUUGAAGUCAGUCGCAUUGGCCGGGGAUCAGCCUUGCUUUUGCAUGGUGUACUUUCUGGUUGAUGGGUCAGCAUCAAUUUUGACCACUGGAAAAAGACCUGGGGAAUGUGGCAGCUUCGGCUGUGUUAUAGCCCCUAGUCGCAUACAGUGGUUGGGAUUGAGGAACUCAGCACGCCGCAAGGCCGGGUUUCGACCACGUUCGUGCUUAGGAUGCUGGCAUAAUGGCUUUAAGCGACCCGUCUUGAAACACGGACCAAGGAGUCUAACAUGCCUGCGAGUAUUUGGGUGGAAAACCCAAGUGCGUAAUGAAAGUGAAAGUUGAGAUCCCUGUCGUGGGGAGCAUCGACGCCCGGACCAGAACUUUUGGGACGGAUCCGCGGUGGAGCAUGUAUGUUGGGACCCGAAAGAUGGUGAACUAUGCCUGAAUAGGGUGAAGCCAGAGGAAACUCUGGUGGAGGCUCGUAGCGAUUCUGACGUGCAAAUCGAUCGUCCAAUCUGGGUAUAUCCGCUCAGGACUAAUCUAACCAUCUAAUGGCUGGUUCCUGGCGAA